UACGAAGGGGGCUAGCGUUGCUCGGAAUCACUGGGCGUAAAGGGUGCGUAGGCGGGGCUUUAAGUCAGGGGUGAAAUCCUGGAGCUCAACUCCAGAACUGCCUUUGAUACUGAAGAUCUUGAGUUCGGGAGAGGUGAGUGGAACUGCGAGUGUAGAGGUGAAAUUCGUAGAUAUCGGGAGGAACACCGGUGGCGAAGGCAGCCUCCUGGGCCAAUCCUGACGCUCAGGCACGAAAGCGUGGGGAGCAAACAGG
rnacentral:rRNA from 1 species